CAGCCGCCGCGGGAACACGAAGGGGGCUAGCGUUGUUCGGAUUUACUGGGCGUAAAGCGCACGUAGGCGGACUUUUAAGUCAGGGGUGAAAUCCCGGGGCUCAACCCCGGAACUGCCUUUGAUACUGGAAGUCUUGAGUAUGGUAGAGGUGAGUGGAAUUCCGAGUGUAGAGGUGAAAUUCGUAGAUAUUCGGAGGAACACCAGUGGCGAAGGCGGCUCACUGGACCAUUACUGACGCUGAGGUGCGAAAGCGUGGGGAGCAAACAGGAUUAGAUACCCGAGUAGUCCCUGUCUCUUAUAC
rnacentral:rRNA from 1 species